GCCUCUUUAGCUCAGCAUAGAGCAGCUCAUUCGUAAUGAGCAGGUCGGGGGUUCGAGUCCCCUGAGAGGCU
rnacentral:tRNA from 1 species